AUCAAUACAUUAACUAAUUAAUCCAAAAAGAAAAUAAAACUCUUACUUCCAAAACCACUAAUAAUAAUCCAAAAAUUAUGAACACCUAUCCAACCACUUCGUGUAGCAAGAAUGGAACUCAAAACAUGAACAAUUACAAAAUGAAUAGGAGAAGAAUUGAAGAAAGACUUGAAAACAAAAUAAAUAAUAAAGAAGGGAAAAAAACAAAAAGGAACAGAACCCCAAAUUGAAAAAAACAAAACGUGAAAAAGCAAAAAGAAUUUUGAAAAGAAAAAUGAAAUAAUGAGCGGUUGAAAAAGAGUAACUUGAGGAGGAGUUUUCUCAAAAUAAAAUAAACUCCCUUAACAAAUCUAAUCCCACAACCUGAUAACAACCCAAUAUUUGACUUCUAAUCCAACAC
rnacentral:lncRNA from 1 species